AUUGAAUUGCAGAAUGAGAUAUGCUACAAGAAGUUUGUUGAAUCACUCAGGAAAGGUUAUCAGGCAAUGAGGUGGCACUUGGUACUGUCACCAAUGUCAAGGAAGCUUGUGAAUGGCUUGGAUAUACGUACCUUUUCAUAAGAAUGAGGC